CGAUGGUCCAAGACUCUUAAAACCUACCGUGCUUCCCCUACGUGAAAACAGUAGCCCAUCCGGGGCAUAGGAAAUCUGAGAAGUUGAGAACUGCGCCCCGGCGCAGUGACUAAAACAAAAAUUA
rnacentral:misc_RNA from 1 species